UUGUAAGUGUCUAAGGGCGCAU
rnacentral:rRNA from 9 species